CCGGCGGGGCGGGUGGGGGCGGUUGCGUGUGAGGGCUGAGGGUGCGGCCCCGCUGCUGCCCGGGCUGCGGAGGGGAGAGCGCCUUGGCCGCUGGCCGUGCCCUCCCUGGGGCUCAGCUCAGGUCCGUGCCCAGCGGCUGGUGGAGUGUGGCGAGUUGUGCUUCCUGCCGGGCGGGAGCUGCCUUGGGAAGCUGCUCUGUCCCCACGGCUGUGCCGAGCUGGGAGCUUGGACAGCAGGAUGUCGAGUGCCACCGUGUCCCUGAGGUCCCCCUUUCUCCUGUUGGGAGAGCACGAGGCGGAUGGAGAGGAUCCCCAGGCAUCUGCAGGAACAAGGGACUUCUAUGACUCCAACUUGCCUACUGCAGAUGUAGGAUGGACUUUCAAGAUAGCAUUGGGAAUGUGCCAGCACUCUCCUGCUGGAGUUUUUGUCUGCUGUAUUUGAACACAAUGAGUAAAACUGAAGUCAGGCAGAAGAGCCCAGGCCUGAGAUGGCUGAGUGUUGGUGUGAGCCACAGUGGGUGUCCCUGCCCUCGGGACAGUCCCCAGAGCUGCCUUUGGCAUCCCCUGCUGAAGGGUGGGAGCUGCCCAGA